UGAAAGUAAGUGAAUUGAAAUUGAAUCCCUCCUCAAUGGAAAAAUAAUUGGCAGUUUUUUUUUAUUCCAAACCUGAAUUCAAUUUGUUUUAAUCCCCUUUACUGAAUGGAGUUUGGUGGGGAGAAACAAUUUAAUGGCCCCUGCUUUCCUGCUGUUGGGUUAAAGAAGCUCUCUGCGAGGAGGCAUUCCGGCUCAAACAUACUCUCCAGUGGCUCAGAAUCCCAGGUUUUUAGGAGCAACUGCGCAGCCAUUGUGGAUAUGGUCCAUAACUGGCCAGCCUGAGCCAUCACACACAGCCAUCCAAAUCCAUUACCCAGAUGUUAGUAGAGAAUAUAUGGGACCGUUCAGGAGGGACAGAUUGACUGGGCUAUUUUGAGCCGCCCAGGCAGCCGUUUGAUAAGACUUAUUGAAAAAUGAAAGGCUCGGCGACCACUCCACAGCAUUUACAUAGAGAUGGGAAUCAGAGCGGAGGCUCCUGGAAUGGCUUACCUUCCACUGCCCUGGUUGAGAGGAUGAGGGAUGAGAACCGCACAGAUCCAGUUCUCUGGACCAGUUCCAGUUCGACCUCUCUUGGACACCAUCUUCUGAUAUUAGAAGGACUGGCUAAGAGGGGCUAGGUAGGGUUGAGUCAGUCUGAUACAGAUAGUGUAGUAGGUACUUGAUAUUAGGACUGGCUAAGAGGGGCUAGGUAGGGUUGAGUCAGUCUGAUACAGAUAGUGUAGUAGGUACUUGAUAUUAGGACUGGCUAAGAGGGGCUAGGUAGGGUUGAGUCAGUCUGAUACAGAUAGUGUAGUAGGUACUUGAUAUUAGGACUGGCUAAGAGGGGCUAGGUAGGGUUGAGUCAGUCUGAUACAGAUAGUGUAGUAGGUACUUGAUAUUAGGACUGGCUAAGAGGGGCUAGGUAGGGUUGAGUCAGUCUGAUACAGAUAGUGUAGUAGGUACUUGAUAUUAGGACUGGCUAAGAGGGGCUAGGUAGGGUUGAGUCAGUCUGAUACAGAUAGUGUAGUAGG